rnacentral:rRNA from 1 species
GAUGAACGCUAGCGGCAGGCUUAACACAUGCAAGUCGAGGGGUAUGCCGAUUUAUCGGCAGAGACCGGCGCACGGGUGCGUAACGCGUAUGCAAUCUACCUUUCACAGAGGGAUAGCCCAGAGAAAUUUGGAUUAAUACCUCAUAGUAUAGCGGUUUCGCAUGAAACCACUAUUAAAGUUCCAACGGUGAAAGAUGAGCAUGCGUCCCAUUAGCUAGAUGGUAAGGUAACGGCUUACCAUGGCUACGAUGGGUAGGGGUCCGUGAGAGGGAGAUCCCCACACUGGUACUGAGACACGGACCAGACUCCUACGGGAGGCAGCAGUGAGGAAUAUUGGUCAAUGGACG